CCCAAAAAUUUUUUUUAAAUAAUGGGAAGCCAUUAUUUAAAAAACAAGAGAAGCCACCGCAAUGAGAAGCUCGCGUGCUGCAACAAAGAGUAGCCCCCGCUCGCCACAACUACAGAAAGCCUGCACACAGCAAUGAAGACCCGACACAGCCAAGACGAUAAUAAUAAUAAUAGUAAUAAUAGUAAUAAUGGUCGGCAAUGCCAACAAAGAAGGACAAAAAAGAAAAACAAAAGACUGUACAUACGCGUGAUCAAGCGAAUCCACAUCUAGAGUGGAUUUUCCAAAAGUGUGAGGACAUUAUUUCCAGCCCCACGUUCUCCUCCAGCACUUUGCCCCUCCACUGUCAAGAGGUGGAUUCUAUUUCCCUCCCCUUGGGACCUGAUGGGACUUGGGGGCUGCCUCACUGCAGGCCUGACUUCCAAGGCAAGGUCACAAAGGCAAGAAGCCUGGCUCUCCCUCAGAACCCACCUCUGGGCUCCGCCACCAUGUUGUAAGGAAGCCCAGGCCACCUGAGGGGCCACAUGCAAAGUCUGGUUCCAGCCAUGGUCCCAGCCAGCAGCCAACAUCGCCUGCCAGCCCCGUGAGUGGGCAAGACCCCUUCAGAGUCCCCGCCAUGAACUGCCACAGUUGACACCUGCUGAGGCAGGGACACCCAUCCCGACUGAGCUCAGCAGGGCAAAACUGCAGAUCUGUGAGCAAAAAUAAAUGUCAUCAUUUUAGGUUACUCAGAUUUGGUGUAACUGGUUAUGCAUCUUUAGGAACUGAGACAGAUUCCAGUAACUGGGACAGAUAGGUAUUUCAGACUUAACUGAACAUGUGCAAAAUGACAUAUUCCCCACAGCAUGGUUUAAAAUAACAAAAGAUUGGAGACAACCUACUGUUCCAGCAACAGAAUAUGGAUUACAUUAUAGUAUAUACACAGUGGAAUACUCUGCAACUGUACAAAAACGAGGAUGUUUCAAAUGCAUUAAUGUGAUUUUUCAAGAUAUAUCAUUAAAGUGAAGAAACAAAGCAGAAAAAUGUGCAUAUAUGCUAUUCAUUAGAUAAAAAGAAAAAAAAUAUGUCUUUGUUUAUAUGUGCAUAAAAUAUUUCUGAAAGGACCCAUAAGAUUGUGACAGCAUUACCUCUGGAGGGCACCCGGCUGUCUGGGGGUGGGGAGGGGAAUCUCUGCUACGUUCCUCUUUCAGUACCUGUCAAUUUUGUAACCAAGUAAAUGUUCAUCUACCUAAAAAAAACUGAUCAAUUAUUUUUAAAUGUGUAAAGGCCUUUUGAUAUGCUGGACAUGGUGAUAUAGAGAUGAAAGACUGCUGCUCACCAUCAUAACAUUCACCUUAUUUUUCUACAAUUAAGGGAAACAGUAAAGUACGACAGUAAAGAGUGAGGUUCUAGAAUCGGGCUUCUGGGGUUCAAAUCCUGCUUCUGCUCUGUGACCUUGGGCAAGUUACUCAAAUGACCGAUUCUUUAGUUUCCUCCUCUGUACAGUGGGGAGUGAUGGUGCACUCAGUUCAAGAUAUUUUCCAAUUUGUGUGAAUUAUUUAGAAAUGUUAAUUUCCAGGAUUUUCUAGGUGUUUUGGCUUGUUUUUGAUUUCUAGCUUUAUUGCAUGUAGUUCUAGAGCAUGUUUCUCAUGAUUUCACGCAUGCUUUGUAUGAAAUUUGAUGAGAUUCAGUUUAAGACCCAGUAUACAGCAAAUUUUGGAAAAUAACAUAGGUUAUUGGAUGCAGUGUUUUAUGUGUCCAUUGACUUUUUGUAUUGUCAACUCUUCCAUAUUGCUACUGAAUUUUUAAUCACUCAGAGGAUGUGUUUAAAAUAGCCCAUUGAGAAUUUGGACUGGUAUCUAUUCAUUUUUGUAGUUCUGUUAAACUUUUCUUCACAUAUUUUGAUGCAUGUUAUUAGGGUUUGUAAUUUCAUGCCCUGUGUGUGUAAUGCCUACUAUGUACAUACAUGGCGGGCAUUGUUCUAAGUGCUUUAAAUAUAUGCUAACUCUGUUAUCCUCUUAACCAUCCUACAAGGUAGUUAACUAUUAGUAUCCCAUUUACGUGUGGAAACCGAAGAAUACAGAGACUAAGCAAUUUGCUGAAGAUUACACUUAUGGUAAGUAGCCGAGCUGGAAUUUGAACAGACUGAGUCUGGAACUUGUUCUUUUAACCAAACUGACAUUGUUCUACUGAAAGAGCUUCUAUCAUUAUGACACGAGCUUCGUUCUGGUGAUUAUCUUUGCCUUAAAUCUAUUUUGUCUAAUAUUUAUAAUGCUCCAGUGGCUUUUUUUUUUUUUUGAUUAACAUCUUCCAGCAUUAACAGCAUCUUUUACUGUCCUUUUACUUUCAACAUCUGUAUUCUUAUGUUUUAGAUAUGCCUCUUGUUAGCAAAUAUUUGGAUUUUUUCCUCAUUCUGACAGUUUCUGUGUUUUAAAUGGAAAAACUUUAAUGGGUCAUUACUCUAAGAAUUACAAUAUGAAAGCUUAAUUUAUCAAAGUCUAAAGUUAGUCAAUAAUUUUCCGCAGAGGUAAUAAAAAUAUUUGGUUUAUGACACACACGGACCAAUCAGAACCCCAGUGGCCAGUUCACUUGGGAUGAUGUACAGGUUCACGCCGCCUGGGUGCCAGCCCUGUCUGCUCACUCCUUCAGGACAAUACAAGGGUCUUUGCAGCAUUUAUCCCUGUUUUAGCUCAGCUGCCGUAAUGAAGUACCACAGCCUGCGUGGCUUAAACGGCAGAAAUGUAUUCUCUCACGGUUCUCAAGGCUGGAAGUCCAAGAUCAGGGUGCCAGUGUGGCUGGAUUCUGGUGGGGCCCCCCUUCCUGGUUUGCAGACGGCCGCCUUCCCACUGUGUCCUCACACGGCAGGGUGCGGGGAGAGGGAGAGAUGUUUGGGGUCUCUUCUUUUCCUGUUUGUUAAGAUUUACUCUUGGAUGUGGACCAUUUUUAGUCUUUAUUGAAUUUGUUACAAUAUUGCUUCUGUUCUAUGUCUUGGUUUUUUGGCCAGGAGGCAUGUGGGACCUUAGCUCCCUGACCAGGGAUCGAACCCACACCCCCUGCACUGGAAGGUGGAGUCUUAACCACUGGAUGGCCAGCUUACGGGAUCUUAGUUCCCCGACCAGAGACUGAACCUGUGCCCCCCGCAGUGGAAAUGUGGCAUCCUAACCACUGGACCACCAGGGAAUUCUAUAAAGAAUUAUUAAGUAGAACAAGACAAGGUGGCUAAUUCCUAACAGGUAAAGUCCUACCAGGUGGUUAAUUCCUUAAGAGGACCCUGAGGAGUCCAGAGGUAAGAGGUAUGAAAGAACAGCUGCUGCUUCUCGGCUGGGCAAGAGGGGGCAAUGAAGGAACAAAGGAUUAGGACAGGGACCCCUCCCACACAGCUGUCCCGCAGGAACCCGCAGUCUGCCGGGGGGAGACCAGAGACUAAGACAAAACAAGACCUUCGCCAGGCUGUGGGCUGGCACUGGUCUAUACAGCGGCCACUAUUCCUGGAGGAUGGGCAGGCAGGCGCCUGGCCUGGCCAGAGGGUGCGGUGCAGGGGGUGCUGGUCUCAGGAGAGGGUGUGGCUGGGCCAGUGCUGGUCUGAGAAGAGGCAAAACACAGAGCGGCCAGCGCGAUGUUGAAGGAGGAAGCAAAGUCAGAGGACUGACGCUCCUACUUAAGACUCGCUGUAACGCUGCGGUAAUCAGGAGAGGGUGGGACUAGGGGAGGAGCAGUCAUAGCGGUAGAGUGGGGAGCAGGGCCCUGCCUAUGGCCGGAGCUCUGGUCACCCAUCGGCCCUUCACUGGCUGCAUGGCCCUGGGCAGGUCACGUACGGUUUCUGAGCCUCAGUUUCCUCGCCUGUAACAAGGUGAGAGUGAUGCCUACUCCAUAGCGAGGGACCUAAAUCCGGCGAUAAAUGGAUUUUAGCGCUGCUGCUACACGUGCCGUCGGGAGCCAGCUGUCGGGAGCCAGCUGGGAAGCUAGUUCACGGAGAAGUGCAGGGACCUUCCACAGGCAGUCAGCACUGCCUUGAGCACCUCGGAAGCUUCCUGCCUGGACGCGUCUGAAAGGACCAGGAUGAGGUGUCACCCGGCGCAGGGUCCCUCAGCACCCCUGCGGGGCCUCCCACCUGCCCUCAAGUGACCAGCUGCCCGGUCCAGGUGGGCAUUGCCGCUGGGCCCAUCCUCCACCCCGGGGUCUGGAGCCCACCGGCUUCCCGGCCCUCCAGCUGAGCCUUCUGAGUGUAGGUAUGCAAUCAGAGUGGUCUAACCCCAAACUUCUGCUUCCCAAGGCCAUUUCUGCCUGAAAGUAGGCAUUUCCUACCGCGCGGAACGUGCCCCUGCUGGAGCCUGGGAGAGGGGGUGGUGCGGGCGCCCCGCCUGGGUCCUUGCUCCUGCCUGGGCAGAGCAGGCGUGAAAUUGUCCUCCUCCACCUGCAGGCCGUCACUUCUGCAUCCAGACGUGGGUCUGAGCGGGGGGUCCUCAGAGGCAGGAUGCUGUGUCACGCAGUCCUCGUCUGCUCUCUAGCCGCUGCCUGAUGGGCAUGAAGGACCCUUUAAGAGGCCUCGAUGGGGGGUUGGGGGCUGUGUGGACAGAGCUGCGAGUUAAGUGCAGGCAGCUGUCACUUCAAGCCGAGCAGCGGUGGGUGAGCGCCUCCCUGACCUGGAAGCUUUUCCCCACAGCAUCUUCUGCUGCAUGGAGCUGCUGACUCAGAAACAGAUGUCACAAAAAGCACAGUAAGUAAGUUCCACGUUCGGAACUGCCAGGCUGUCGUAAAAGAGAAACCGAGGCCAGAGCAAGCCGGACCGGCCAGCUGAGGCUGCCAUGGCCCAUGGGCAGGCUGGGAUGGGAGCUGGGUGGAGGAGGAAAGCCACAGACUUACCUGCACCUGUGCUUUGGGACCCUGAAGGCCCUCCUGGGGGCUGCAGAGGGAGGGAGGGCCGGCCCCCGAGGAUGGCGAGGGAGGAUUCUGGCUGUGCUUCACCACAUGCACCCCCGUCCCCUUUCCCUCACCUCCCUGGCCCCCACACCCCGUUCCCAUCCCUGGGCCGAUGGGAGGAGGACCACUUACACUGUGGGAGAGAGGGGACCCUGAGUCUCCUGGACUCAGCCGCUGAAUGGCCAAAGGCACUUCAAGUGAAAGAAUGAAUUGGUUCCUACCUCUGCUAGCUACCGACUUGGGUCUGAGAAACCCCUUUAUCCACCGUAAUCUUCCUGCCAGCAGGUUCACUACGGCUCUCUGGUUUCGUGCUUCACCUUGCUGAAGACUUUUGAGUACUUUUCUUUUCUCCCAGAAGCAGAAUGAAACGCGCACAUACCAACUGGCCCUCUGGUGUUGGAGGUCAGGGUACCUGUGCAGUCACGGAGCAGGCGGGCUUGUUCCAUGUGAGGUUUCGGAGGAUUUCUUCUGAACCAGUGGCUUUGAUUCUAAACACGUUACAGCGUGGAAAUCUCAACUGAGCUGCCUCGGUAACAACACAGCUCCGUCGAGGGCACGGUGGGUGAGAUGAGAUUAUCAUCUCUAAGUUCCAGUCUCUUUUGAAGCCACAACCCACCUGGGGAGGCCGACAAGCAUCGGCAGGAAGUUGCCCUGCAUCCACCAGGCGCGCGGGUUCUCAGCGCCGGGCUCGAGGAGGUGGACGCCUCAGUUCUGCUCCUGACCCUGAUCUACUCCCCACGCAAACCCUCCGCGUGGCUGGGCUCCUCCCAGCUGAGCGCACUCUCUGUCUCCUGCCCUGUCCGCUCUGCAUCUCGGGGGCCUGGCCUCGUUCACUCUGAGCAGUAAAGUCUUCCAACCGAGGUGCACCAAGGGCCGAAGCUUCCGGGCAGGCUGGCGUUCGAGAAGGAUUACGUCGCCGUGUGUGCUUGGAGUCCCUGGAGAAACAGAACCAAUGGAGCCAUGGUUUCGCGUUGGAACCUGGGAGCAGUCAGCGUGGAGCUUGUGAGAAGAGAUUGACCUUCUGAUAAAAGAAUGGACUUGCUUGUGGACCAGUAUCAGUAAUUCACCUGUAUUUUCUUCACUCAAGACCAUGUCAGUUCUCCAGCUCUGGAUUGCAGUUUAGCCUGCAGAGACCUUGGUUGUCUCCCUUCUCACCCUGAGAUCUUGUUGUGUGAAGUCAGGAGCCGUGGCAGCCAGUGUUCAUGAAACAGUGACUCUGCAAGUAGAUAAAACAUCAGACCCUUCCCAGGUCUGGAUGAGAGUCUGGGAUUCACUGAGCCACUGAAUUCCUUCACCCUGCAACUCCCUCCCUCCAUGCAAAGUCCUUAUAAUUUCAGCCACUGUUCUUUGAGUAAUUUAAGCCUCUUUCCUUGCAGCCAAAUGCAUCUGUGGAAGACAGAGUGGAUUGGGUCCGUCAACUCCACUUCCCCUCCCAGCCACAGUCGCAGCCAGCAACCAGCAUCGCCUGCCAGCCCCGUGAGUGGGCAAGACCCCUUCAGAGGACUCGAGUCCCCACCACGAACUGCCACAGCUGACACCCGCUGGGGCAGGGACGUCCACCCCCUCUGAGAUCUGCCGGCCAAAACUGCAGAUCUGUGAGCAAAAUAAAUGUUUUGAAGUACUUUUUCCUCGCUUUUUCUUGUUUUGAAGUCCACUUUGUCUAACAUUAAGAUAGUCACUCUAGGGGCUUCCCUGGUGGCACAGUGGAACCCAUGUCCCCACCC